UAAAGGGCAUAUAAGUGUUGGCAAGCCAAACCAAAAUGGCUUGGUGAUGGGGAGCCCAAUUCAAUGUGUAGCAUGCCAGUUUAGUAUUUACAAUCCUAGGUUCAUAAUUCCCAACAUUCAUAAACAUAAGAGGAUCAUGCCCUUGCUCUCUAAAAAUAUAGGUGAAUGCUCGAGUAUGAAGAGCAGUGCUUGGAGCUUUUGCUGGUAUGUUUCUCUCUAAUCAGUAAUUCUUUAGGCUUAACUGGCAUAAAAUAACAAGCAAAAGAACCAUCAUAACUUGUUCAUGAAACCUAAAGAUUCAUAACAGUUGCUAAGCCUCCUAAAAUUUAGUCAUGUUCUUUAACACUUGUAAAAGAUGUAUUCUUGGCCCCACAGUUGAAGUGGUUCAAGUAGAAUUUGAGCAGCAUGCUACAAAGAGCCAAUUUUAUCAGGUUAAUGUGGACUUAAAACAAAAUUUCGCUACUUGGUUACAAUUAUAUAAUUGCCCCUCCCCCACCCUUACCCCCAUACAUUUUGAAAUCUGUAUACAGUUCCUUUCAUUAAGUUAUUGAAAAUAUCACAUCAACCAUAUUGGGAAACUACAAGAAAAAUCAAAAUAAUAGCUUCUGCAAUAUCAUGCACAACCGCAAUCUUUAUACACCUGUUUCAACGAGGACAAAGACAUUCAAUAAGCAACUCCCAUAAAAGGAGGAAGCAGAAAAACAAAUAUAGAAU
rnacentral:misc_RNA from 1 species